AUGGCGCAACGAAAUCCACAGCGGGCGGACCCUAGUCCAGGCUUCCCAGGCUUGCAGCAUCCACGCGGCUGGGAAGCGGUGGCUCCUGGGGGCUCGUGGCUGCGUCUCCCUAACACUGGUGUCGAGCACUCCUCGUGUGUCUGUUGGCAACUUGUCUGUCUUUUCGGGGCUAAUGUCGACGCAGCUCCUUUGGUCAGAUGGGGCCGCCUUUUGGAAAACAGCCUAGCCUUUCUUCAAAAAGUUACACACAGUUUCUUUAUGUUCCAACAAUGCCACUCCCAGGCUUCUACACGUGCACCCAAGAGAAAUGGAAAUAAGAAAAACUUGUAAAUGAAUGUUUGUGGCACUAUUAUUCCUAAGAGCCUAAAGGCGGAAAUAACCCCGCUGUCCCUCAGCUCAUGAACGGAGAGAUAAAAUACGGGAUAACCAUUGAACCAGAUGUAUUUGGCCAUAAAAAAAGUAAUGAAUUGCCGAAGCGUACUACAGCCAUAGACGAAGCUCAGAUACACGCUACGUGGAAGCAGCAGUCACAAAGAGCCCACGGUUCCCGAGUCCACUGGUAGGAGAGGGCCAGCCCGAGCCAGUCCACGGGGAGGAAGCUGCCCUCCAGGGCGGAGAAGUUGGGCGAGACCCUUAGUGGCACAAGGGCUCCUGGGGAGUGAGGAAAAUGUCCUGAAUCUAAGACGACAGAGCGCAGCUGUCAGCCUUACAUAGCUGGCUUCUUGGGUUUGUGAGCUGCAUCUCAACAAAGCUGUUUUUUAAAGAAGAGAGAAGAUAGAGUCCAUCGUCUUUCAAAACUGUAGACUCUACUGAUUUGUAAAUCUAGCAUGUUUCCGAGCGCCCAAGCAAACAGCCACCAUCAUACAUGGAUCCUCACGGUCCCUCUCCCUUCAUGUAUUCAUUCAACAAACAUCUCGUGGGUCCUUCCCACAGAACAAUGACUACAAAGCAGGACCGGGCACACAAAGAGCAAAGUCACAGUGUCUUCCUCGUGGGGAGAGAGGUGGGCCAGGGGAGGGGAGUGCUAAAUGCUAUAGAUUUAUCCCCAGAUGUGGGGACAGAAGGGUUCAAGCAGAAAAGAUGACGCCCAAACUAGGCCUUGACGGUUUCCUAGAAAGCCAGUCCAGUCAAGGUCACAAGACUGAGAACCUCCCUCCCUGCCCCCCACACCGCGCCCUGACCAGGAAUGGCCCUUGACAGACAUAUUGCUAUUUAUUAGGGCCUCUCUGCCAGCCCCCGUGGACCCGACCAUAAAUAAAUCCCCCACCCAAAGCGCUCCA
rnacentral:lncRNA from 1 species